rnacentral:misc_RNA from 1 species
UCGAGUUUUCGGGUCUUUAAGAUCCAAACCUCCCACCCCCAUGCUUAACUACUCUUGUUGCUUUGGCGGGCCGUUGGCGGGCUGAAAUAUCGGCCUUGCCCCGCUGGCUCCGGCUGGUGUGUGCCCGUCAGAGACCCAUUUUUACAAACUCUUUAUAUUUGUCAUGUCUGAAAAUAUACAUAAAUAAGCACA